AGUGAACGCUGGCGGUAGGCCUAACACAUGCAAGUCGAACGGCAGCACAGUAAGAGCUUGCUCUUACGGGUGGCGAGUGGCGGACGGGUGAGGAAUACAUCGGAAUUUACUUUUUCGUGGGGGAUAACGUAGGGAAACUUACGCUAAUACCGCAUACGACCUACGGGUGAAAGCAGGGGAUCUUCGGACCUUGCGCGAUUGAAUGAGCCGAUGUCGGAUUAGCUAGUUGGCGGGGUAAAGGCCCGCCAAGGCGACGAUCCGUAGCUGGUCUGAGAGGAUGAUCAGCCACACUGGAACUGAGACACGGUCCAGACUCCUACGGGAGGCAGCAGUGGGGAAUAUUGGACAAUGGGCGCAAGCCUGAUCCAGCCAUACCGCGUGGGUGAAGAAGGCCUUCGGGUUGUAAAGCCCUUUUGUUGGGAAAGAAAAGCAGCAGGUUAAUACCCCGCUGUUCUGACGGUACCCAAAGAAUAAGCACCGGCUAACUUCGUG
rnacentral:rRNA from 1 species